AGGAGAAUCGCUUGAACCCAGGAGGUGGAGAUUGCAGUGAGCUGAGAUUGCACCACUGCACUCCAGCCUGAGUGACAGAGUGAGACCCCGUUUUAAAAAACAAAACAAGGCCAGGUACGGUGGCUCACGCCUGUAAUCCCAGCAUUUUGGGAGGCCGAGGCAGGUGGAUCACAAGGUCAGGAGAUCGAGACCAUCCUGGCUAACACGGUGAAACCCUGUGUCUACUAAAAAUACAAAGAAUUAUCCGAGCAUGGUGGUGGACGCCUGUGGUCCCAGCUACUCCGGAGGCUGAGGUGGGAGAAUGGCGUGAACCCAGGAGGUGGAGCUUGCAGUGAGCUGAGAUUGCGCCACAGCACUCCACCCUGGGCGACAGAGCGAGACUCCAUCUCAAAAAAAAAAAAAAAAAAAAAAGAAAAGAAGAAAAGAAAACGAAGAAAAACCACAAAUAAAUAAAAGUUGAGGUAUGAUAUAUGCACAGCUGCAUUCGCCCCUUUGAGGGCACAGUUGUGUGAGUUUAGACAAAUGCAAAUGUUCAUGGAACCACUGCAAGUGCGACAGAGCAGCUCUGGUGCCCACAAAGCUUCCUCAAGGUCCCUUGCGGUCAGUCACUGCCCGCACCUCAGCCGUCAGAGCCACUGGGAAGCCCCCUGCCCUGUGGGCUCACCUGUCCUAGAACGUCUUAUAAAAGGAGUCGCAGAUCGCAGCCUUUUCCACCUGGCUUCUGUCCCUCUGCAGGGUGCACCUGGGAUUCAGCCACCUUCGUUCCUUUUACCCCUGAGUGUCCAUCACGUGCUGCUCAUGCAGAAGUGCUCAAGUUCGCUGUAAACAUAGUUUUCAUUUCUCCCGGGUGGAGACCUCCAUAAGUAGAGGGUGAUAGCUCUGCUGACUCCCGGCCCUCACAGGCUCUAGGGAUUGAGCCUGUUUCUGUGGAACGCCUUCCGUGGUCUGCGAGGUGCACAGAGGGGUCGCAAAAAGCUUCCAGGUUGCACCUUCCCAUGGACUGAUGCUGAGCGUGUUCUCAUCUCCCAUCCGGAUGUUUUCUUUGGUUGGAGUGCAACGGCGCGAUCUUGGCUCACUGCAACCUCCCCCCACCCACCUCACUUCGGGUUCAAGCGAUUCUCCUGCCUCAGCCUCCUGAGUAGCUGGGACUCCAGGC
rnacentral:lncRNA from 1 species